GUGAAACACAUUAGGGUAAUCAGCAAAGAAAGGAAAUAAAGCUCAAUAAAGAAAACAGUAUGUAAAGCAUGCAACACUUGAGGAUUUAUUUGACAAAGAAAACACAGAAUGAACGAACAACUGACACAAUGAAACAUAAUUACGGACAAAAGGACAAUACAGAUGUGAUGAAAAAACACAAGAUAAUCUGUGAUGCUGACUGCAUAUUCAGCAAUAGAGGCAAAGUGGCCUGGCUUGGUUCAUGACUCGCAAAUCCUUCAGACCUCUACAAUUCACCAGCAACUAUCACAAGCGAUACACCACUCGUAGUGUUCCUGCCUGGCUUGUUUGGAAUGCUUUCUUGAAGUCCCCAAGUCUCCAGCACCGUUGGCGACAUCUUCUGGAUCUACUUAACUGUGCCCUGUGAGCGUGCCACAGUACCGUGCACAUCCAUGCUUUUGGGUGACAAUGAUCUAGAGAGCAUUGCUGGAUCGCACA